GGGGCUGGGGCUCAGAGGUAGAGCACUCACUUAUCACGUGUAAGGCACUGGGUUCAAUCCUCAGCAUCCCA
rfam:Ictidomys tridecemlineatus contig066186, whole genome shotgun sequence.